rnacentral:rRNA from 1 species
UACGAAGGUGGCAAGCGUUGUUCGGAAUUAUUGGGCGUAAAGAGCGUGUAGGCGGUUCGGUAAGUCUGCCGUGAAAUCCUGGGGCUCAACCCCGGGCGUGCGGUGGAUACUGCCGGGCUAGAGGGUGGUAGAGGCGAGUGGAAUUCCCGGUGUAGCGGUGAAAUGCGCAGAUAUCGGGAGGAACACCAGUAGCGAAGGCAGCUCGCUGGGACGUUACUGACACUGAGGCGCGAAAGCGUGGGGAGCGAACAGG